rnacentral:rRNA from 1 species
UACGGAGGGGACUAGCGUUGUUCGGAAUUACUGGGCGUAAAGCGCACGUAGGCGGAUUUGUAAGUCAGGGGUGAAAUCCCGAGGCUCAACCUCGGAACUGCCUUUGAUACUGAGGAGCUUGAGUCCGGGAGAGGUGAGUGGAACUGCGAGUGUAGAGGUGAAAUUCGUAGAUAUUCGCAAGAACACCAGUGGCGAAGGCGGCUCACUGGCCCGGUACUGACGCUGAGGUGCGAAAGCGUGGGGAGCAAACAGG